GACGAACGCUGGCGGCGUGCUUAACACAUGCAAGUCGAACGGAAAGGCCCUGCUUUUGUGGGGUGCUCUAGUGGCGAACUGGUGAGUAACACGUGAGUAACCUGCCCUUGACUUUGGGAUAACUUCAGGAAACUGGGGCUAAUACCGGAUAGGAUCUCCUGCUGCAUGGUGGGGGUGGGAUAGUUUCGUCGGUUGGGUAUGGACUCGCGGCUUAUCAGCUCGUUGGUGGGGUAGUGGCUUACCAAGACGUUGACGGGUAGCCGUCCUGAGAGGGUGACCGGACACAUUGGGACUGAGAUAAGGCCCAGACGCCUACGCGAGGCAGCGGUGGGGAAUAUUGCACAAUGGGCGGAAGCCUGAUGCAGCAACGCAGAGUGCGGGAUGAAGGCCAUCGGGUUGUAAAGCGAUUUCGCUUGUGACGAAACGUGAGUGACGGUAAUGGGUAAAGAAGCACCGGCUAACUACGUG
rnacentral:rRNA from 1 species